GACGAACGCUGGCGGCGUGCUUAACACAUGCAAGUCGAACGGAAAGGCCCUGCUUUUGUGGGGUGCUCGAGUGGCGAACGGGUGAGUAACACGUGAGUAAACUGCCCUUGACUUUGGGAUAACUUCAGGAAACUGGGGCUAAUACCGGAUAGGAGCUCCUGCUGCAUGGUGGGGGUUGGAAAGUUUCGGCGGUUGGGGAUGGACUCGCGGCUUAUCAGCUUGUUGGUGGGGUAGUGGCUUACCAAGGCUUUGACGGGUAGCCGGCCUGAGAGGGUGACCGGCCACAUUGGGACUGAGAUACGGCCCAGACUCCUACGGGAGGCAGCAGUGGGGAAUAUUACACAAUGGGCGGAAGCCUGAUGCAGCAACGCCGCGUGCGGGAUGACGGCCUUCGGGUUGUAAACCGCUUUCGCCUGUGACGAAGCGUGAGUGACGGUAAUGGGUAAAGAAGCACCGGCUAACUACGUG
rnacentral:rRNA from 1 species